UACGUAGGGGGCAAGCGUUAUCCGGAUUUAUUGGGCGUAAAGAGCUCGUAGGCGGCCGUUCGCGUCGGAUGUGAAAGCUCAGGCUCAACUCUGAGAUGCCAUUGAUACUAUCUGUCUUGAAUACCGUGGAGGUCAGCGGAAUAUGUCAUGUAGCGGUGAAAUGCUUAGAUAUGACAUAGAACACCAAUUGCGAAGGCAGCUGGCUACACGAAUAUUGACACUGAUGCACGAAAGCGUGGGGAUCAAACAGG
rnacentral:rRNA from 1 species